CCUGGCGGCUUUAGCGCGGUGGUCCCACCUGACCCCAUGCCGAACUCAGAAGUGAAACGCCGUAGCGCC
rnacentral:rRNA from 8 species